UACGUAGGGCGCAAGCGUUGUCCGGAAUUAUUGGGCGUAAAGAGCUCGUAGGCGGCCUGUCGCGUCCGCUGUGAAAUCCCGGGGCUUAACCCCGGGCGUGCAGUGGAUACGGGCUGGCUGGAGGCAGGCAGGGGAGAACGGAAUUCCCGGUGUAGCGGCGAAAUGCGCAGAUAUCGGGAGGAACACCGGUGGCGAAGGCGGUUCUCUGGGCCUGUACUGACGCUGAGGAGCGAAAGCGUGGGGAGCGAACAGG
rnacentral:rRNA from 1 species